rnacentral:lncRNA from 1 species
UCGAAACAUUCAAGCGACAGUAUUUACUAUGUUGUUAUAGAUGCGGAGAAUCCCAUCAAAACAGUUACUGAAAUUUUGCUGUUCGUCAGGAGAUUCCACGAAGAAUUGUUUACAGUGUUUGUGGAUGAAGUGAUAUAUAUAUAUAUAUAUAUAUAUAUAUAUAUAUAUAUAUCAUCCGUGUAAUCGCCUGUGUUUAUUUGACUUGACUGUUCGUGAGAGAAGAGAAAAAAAAAAGCUUAAGCUUUUGGAUGAAACUCAGCUGAUCUUCCUUGAGCUUGAUAUGAAGUUAUGAAUCAAAUUUCCUUUCUUUUCAUUUUUUGGGUCUUGAAAAUGGGGCUUUUCGAUCAUGGACUUGUACCGAUAUCUGUCAUUCGCUCACCAGUACGUGUUGUCCGUACAGGCAGGAGCUAUGAACUCGAUGCGUGUUUCAGACUUUCAGAGUGGGUUUUUUUCUGGUAAUCUGUCACUUGCGAGGCAAAACAGAUCACAUGAACAGAGGGGAAGAACACAUGUGUCUUGCCUAGUGUGAGCUUCUUCCCUUUUUUGCCCCUCAACUUUCAGGCUUUGUGUAACAUAAGGAAUCUCAAAGGUGUUUGUUUUGCAAUAAUUUGUUUAUUAUUUUUGUAAAAAUAAGUUCAAUUUCAUAUAGGAGAUCUUGACUGGUGUGCCAUUCGCUGUUCACUGUGGCCAUGGCCAUGGAGGUGAUCAAAGUAUUCAAAUGGUAGCAGAAGAGUACGGACACCUCUGGCUUUCCAUUCUUCCACUGACUUUCCUCGUG